ACUUAGAUAGCUUAUAUAGAGCGUGAUACUGAAGAUAUCAAGGAAACUUAAAGUUUCUAAGUA
rnacentral:tRNA from 1 species